UACGUAGGGUGCGAGCGUUAAUCGGAAUUACUGGGCGUAAAGCGUGCGCAGGCGGUUUUGUAAGCCAGAUGUGAAAGCCCCGGGCUCAACCUGGGAAUGGCAUUUGGGACUGCAAGGCUUGAGUGCGGCAGAGGAGACUGGAAUUCCUGGUGUAGCAGUGAAAUGCGUAGAUAUCAGGAGGAAUACCGAUGGCGAAGGCAGGUCUCUGGGCUGACACUGACGCUCAUGCACGAAAGCCGUGGGGAGC
rnacentral:rRNA from 1 species